GAUGAACGCCGGCGGCGUGCCUAAUACAUGCAAGUCGAGCGAACAGACGAGGAGCUUGCUCCUCUGACGUUAGCGGCGGACGGGUGAGUAACACGUGGAUAACCUACCUAUAAGACUGGGAUAACUUCGGGAAACCGGAGCUAAUACCGGAUAAUAUAUUGAACCGCAUGGUUCAAUAGUGAAAGACGGUUUUGCUGUCACUUAUAGAUGGAUCCGCCCCGCAUUAGCUAGUUGGUAAGGUAACGGCUUACCAAGGCAACGAUGCGUAGCCGACCUGAGAGGGUGAUCGGCCACACUGGAACUGAGACACGGUCCAGACUCCUACGGGAGGCAGCAGUAGGGAAUCUUCCGCAAUGGGCGAAAGCCUGACGGCGCAACGCCGCGUGAGUGAUGAAGGUCUUCGGAUCGUAAAACUCUGUUAUUAGGGAAGAACAAAUGUGUAAGUAACUAUGCACGUCUUGACGGUACCUAAUCAGAAAGCCACGGCUAACUACGUG
rnacentral:rRNA from 1 species